GAAGCUCAAAGGAUUUCCAGAGACAGUGGGGAAGUUUUACAGAGACAGGCAGGGGAGGAUCUUAGCCCAGCUUUGGUAAGCCUCUGGCUUGAGUAUGGAAGGACUCAGGAAUUCUCCCACUCCGGAAUGCCUUGCUGCUGGGGUGACCAGGUCUUCACUUGUGAAACAGGAGUCAGCCACCUCAGCCCUGCGCCUGGCCUGGUGGAACACGGGUCGCCGCCCCAUCCCAACGCAGUUGCUGCCGCUCUCCAUGCCUCCCUGUGCCCAGCUAACCGGGGGACUUGUCCCCUGGGAAAACCUGGGUACCCAGGCUGCCUUUGGUUUCAGCCCCAACUCCUCUUCCCGGGCUGCCUUUGCUCCCCGGACAGCCCCUUUACCCGGGCUGUGUUCACAUCGGCUGGGAAGGGUCCCUUGCAGACAGAUCUUGGAGGAGGUCGCGUCCCCCGUCGUGACCAGCAAACUCCUAAAAGCGGCCCCUGCCCCAGAGUCCCUGUAACCCUCCAACCGGCAGUCAGGGCGCAGCGCCGCCUCAGUGCCGCUUAGUGGCGCCAGGCGUGCCUGGAAACCCGCUGCCGCAGGGCCCUCUCGUAGCCGCCUCCGCCCGCAGAAAGGAGUUCUCCGGACAGAGGAGGGGGCAGGCGCGCGCGGGGGCGGGCGCGGGGGCGGGCGCGGGGGCGGGCGCGGGGGCGGGCGCGGGGGCGGGCGCGGGGGGCCUUGCCGGAGAACCUGACUCUCCGCAGCAGCAGUGGAAGCUAGAGUGACGCGUUCUGUUGAACACCAGUUUUCUGGAGCGCUGUGUGUUCUCACAGGUGAGCAGUCUGUUUCUCCAAUCAGGUUUCAAAGCCACUUCACUGCACUGUCCCCUGUGGGUCACUGCUGCACCGCCCUGGCCCAUGUGGGUCCCUGAGGAGCGACCUGCCGGGGCCACCUGGCUGGACGAAAAAGACACACCUUGGACUUAAGCCGUGAGAAAAAAAAAACUUCGUCAGUAAGAAACAAGUCAAUAGACAAGUCAAAGACUAGGAGAAAAUAUGCAUAAAACAUAAAAAAGUGACUUGAUUCCUGAUUCUGGAGUAUUUAAGAAUUCCUAUAACUCAACAAAAAGUUCAAUUUUUUAAAAUGAGCAAAAGGCUUGGGUAAAUUAUUCACAAAGGAACGUAGACAAAUGCCAGUACACACAUGAGAAGCGCAUGCACAUCCACAAACUUCAAACAAGCCCACCUCAUGUAUUUCUAGGGAGUAAGGAAAAGAAUGCAAACACUUUUGAAAAUGGUUUGGUUGUUUCUUGUAAAUUUAAGCAAAUACCCUAUUAUAUUAUCCAGCGAGUCCAUCCUUAGGUUUUUAUUCAAGGAUAAAGAGGUGAAAACUCAUAUCUAACAAAUAGACUUAUAAAAAGAUGAAAAUAGAAGCUUUAUUCAUAAAAGACAAAAACUAGAAAUAACCCAAAUAUUCAUUCACAGGAGAAUAAAUAGACUAGGUUGAAUCCAUACGAUGGAAUGUUAGCAGACAAUAAAAAGAAAAUGAACUAUUGAUACCCCCUACUACACAGCAGAAGCUCUGAAUUGUGUUCCUGAAUGAAAGAAGUCAGGUAUGAAAGAAUAAACAUUGUAUGAUUCCAUUUAUAUGAAAACGAAUCUGUGAUUUAAAAGUCAGACUAGUAUUAGGUUGGUGCAAAAGUAAUUGCGGUUUUUGCCUUUUUUUUUUUUUUUUAAAUAAAAAUAGUUGCGUUGGGGUUUAUGGAUGGAGUGGCAUGGCGGAGGUUAGCUGAAAGGGGCAUGAAAUAACUUUUUGGGGGUGCUAGAAUGUUCUAAAUCUUACAGUGGGGGAAGGACAGGAGUGCAGGUAUUUGACAAAACACAUUGAAUUGUGAAAUUUAAGAUUUUUGAAUUUCAUUGUAUGUAAAUUAC
rnacentral:sRNA from 1 species